GAUGGAAAGGUAGGCUGCUGAACUUUGUUCGUUGUCACAUUAUUGUAAUCCUAGAAGAAAAUCAAGCUACGAUUCCACUCUUACAUUGAUCAUUGAACCACACUAUGCUUUUGGCCUUAUUCUACUUAUACAUUGAACCAUACUGUGCAUCUGUUUCUUAAAAUCUAUUUUUGCUAGAAGAACAGAAUCCAGAAUUUGUAUUUGUUCCAUCUUUAGUUUGCCCAAAAUAGCUGAACCAAUCUACAGAAAAGAGCCGACAAUGCCAACAAUUGCUUUGCAGCGACCUUUUCUGUUGAAAACUUCAUCUUUCGGAAUCAAAACGCCACACCGCAAUGACAGAGCUUCUGGCAUUUGGACAAUGUCAGCGAAUUGGAAUCCUUCACAAACAAGAAAGCAAAUGGAAAUCUCAAAAGAGCUUCGAACUGUUUCUGCUACCGAAUCUGUGCCAGUGGUAGCUCCGGCAGAACUCCAAUUUGACAAGCCGCAACCACAGGAUCAAAUGCUCUUUCAAGAAAACCGACUUCAGUUUGGACAGUUUGUGGCUCGUAAGGCUGUACUAGACGAAGAGUAUUGGGUGCGUUGACAUAAUUAUUGGUUAUUUUCCAUGUCAGUUGGCAAUCAUGUUUUCUAGUUAUUCCUCAUGGCUAAUUUGCAGCGGUAGCUUCGUCAUUUUUUCUUUUCUUUUCUUUUUGGGUGGUAGACAGCAGCUUGGCUGCGAGCAGAGAGUCACUGGGAGGACAGAAGAAAUGACAGAUUUGCUGACAACUACAAAAGGAAGUUUGCGGAGCAGGAAUAUAAUGCACUAAAAAGAAGAUCCAACACACAACUAGGGCAUAAAUGCACCUGCAUGGUGGCGGUAUGAGCCGUAAAGAAGGAAAACAGAGACGUGAAACAUACUGUGCUGAAGAGUGUUGUUGGAACACUAGACUUGAGCAUCCAAUACUUGUCACAAGGAGAGACCUUUCCAGGGGUACGAGUUUGAUUUGAAUAUUCAGCUGAUCAUUAGUAGGCAUCGAAGUUUGAUUGCUUUAAGAUCUGGAUUCUGAAUUGAUCAUCCGUAGGCAUCCAUGCUCACUGCCUUGCAGUCAUUGAAAGUUUUGCUCUCUGACAGGAACGGGUGAAAAAUCCUCUCUUCUGCAGUAUUGAUAGAAAAUCCUGCAGAAGAUAUGGUUACAUAUCCAAUUUAUGUGUUGCCAAAUCAGCACGCCGGCAGGGCAUUGCAAGCAAAAUGAUUCUCUUUGCAAUCAGCUCAGCAAAAAGAGAUGGCGCAGAACAGGUGUUUGUGCAUGUACAUAGGUUCAACACGCCUGCUCAGGAACUGUAUCACAAGAUGGGUUUUCAGAUGGUUGAAGCAGCAAGGUUUGACAAGUCAAAUGAGCAAAUUUAUUUGCUUCAACUCGGAUCAUGAAAUCCGUCCAACAAAUUCUGUUUGUUCCUUGCAGAAGCCUAUACCUUUUCGGUGCAACCAACCUCAGCCAAAAAAAAAAAAAAAAAAGGAACUGAAAACCCUAUAUUCAGACUUUCAGAGCAGUCCAAGCUCCACAUCGAAGAAACUAUGAGAAAGAUUGGGCUGGUGUCAAAUUUCUAAUUUAGCACUUUUACAUCUAACAAGUUUUCUGGAGUCUUGUAUUAGCUGCCUCCAGAGUCUAGAUUCCAGACCGACACAGCUACAAGGAAACUAGCUGUCUAACCAUUGUAAUUGUAAUCUUUGAUCAAACUAUAUUCCUUCACAGUCUGCAUCCAAUAGAAAGCGUAUCCUAAUUUAUAAUAAA